GACGAACGCUGGCGGCGUGCUUAACACAUGCAAGUCGAGCGGUAAGGCCCUUUCGGGGGUACGACGAGCGGCGAACGGGUGAGUAACACGUGGGUGACCUGCCCUCCAGCUCUGGGAUAAGCCUGGGAAACCGGGUCUAAUACUGGAUAUGACUCCAUGACGCAUGUUGUGGGGUGGAAAGCCUUGUGCGGCUGAGGAUGGGCCCGCGGCCUAUCAGCUUGUUGGUGGGGGG
rnacentral:rRNA from 1 species